UCUUUUAAUUGAAGGCUUGUAUGAAUGGUUGGACGAGGGAUUAACUGUCUCAUAGUAAUUUAUAAUAGAAUUUAAUUUUUUAGUUAAAAAGCUGAAAUUUUUUUAAAGGACGAGAAGACCCUAUAGAGCUUUAUAUUAUUAAUUAAUUUUUAUUUAGAAAAAUUGAAUUAUUAAAUAAAGUAAUAUUUUGUUGGGGUGACAGUAAGAUUUAUUUAACUCUUAUAAUUUAUUUUCCAUUGAUUUAUGAAUUUUUGAUCCAUUAGUAAUGAUUUUAAGAUUAAGUUACCUUAGGGAUAACAGCGUAAUUUUUUUUGAGAGGCCUUAUCGAUAAAAAAGAUUGC
rnacentral:rRNA from 1 species